rnacentral:rRNA from 1 species
UAAUAUAUUUAAAAUACCCUGAACAUGCCUGAUCCUGUCUGAUCUCGGAAGCUAAGCAGGGUCUGGCCUGGUUAGUACUUGGGUGGGAGACCACCUAGGAAGACCAGGUGCUGUAGGCG